AGCGGCGGACGGGUGAGUAACGCGUGGGUAACCUGCCUCAUACAGGGGGAUAACAGUUAGAAAUGACUGCUAAUACCGCAUAAGACCACGGUACCGCAUGGUACAGUGGUAAAAACUCCGGUGGUAUGAGAUGGACCCGCAUCUGAUUAGGUAGUUGGUGGGGUAACGGCCUACCAAGCCGACGAUCAGUAGCCGACCUGAGAGGGUGACCGGCCACAUUGGGACUGAGACACGGCCCAG
rnacentral:rRNA from 1 species